CCUACGGGAGGCUGCAGUGGGGAAUAUUGCGCAAUGGGCGAAAGCCUGACGCAGCGACGCCGCGUGAGGGAUGAAGGUCCUCGGAUCGUAAACCUCCGUCAGCAGGGAAGAACGGUCACUGUGCUAAUCAGCAGUGAAUUGACGGUACCUGCAAAGGAAGCACCGGCUAACUCUGUGCCAGCAGCCGCGGUAAUACGUAGGGUGCGUGCGUUAAUCGGAAAUACUGGGCGUAAAGCGCUCGUAGGAGGUGUGUCAAGGCAAGGGUGAAAACCCCGCGCGCAACGUGGGAACUGCCGUUGAAACUGGCAAACUGGAGUGUGUGAGAGGAUAGUGGAAUUCCAGGUGUAGGGGUGAAAUCCGUAGAUAUCUGGAGGAACAUCAGUGGCGAAGGCGACUAUCUGGCACAUAACUGACGCUGAGGAGCGAAAGCGUGGGUAGCAAACAGGAUUAGAUACCCGUGUAGUC
rnacentral:rRNA from 1 species